rnacentral:lncRNA from 1 species
CUAACACACACCAGUGUAUGUCAAACAUAAGUACAGAAUUUUAUUUAAAUUUUGAACUGCAACUUCGCGGUGGUAGAGCUGCAUCUAUCUCUCGCCUACGCUUGUGGGGUUAGACAGUUCUGGAAUGUGCGCAGAGGAGUGGAGUCACAUGGUGAUUAUGAGCCAUUCCUUACAUCCCUUUAAACUUUGGAGCCUAAGAAGUCAAUAGUUUGGUUAUACGUCUGAGUUUGGUUGUACGGAGUUUGGAAGACAAGAAGAGGUCUCCCUAUACAGUCCCCACUUUGAAAUUCCCGUUUGUAGUCUCCAGACCUCAAAAGUCAGUGGUCUCACAGAAGAGCCCAGGAGUCAUUGGUUUCCCGCUUUUGGCCCAAGCUCCCGGCGUAACGAAUGCUAACGCAGAACCUCCGCCGACAGCCGCUGCGUCCCGUCCCCCGCUGGUCUAGUCGCCCGCCGCCAACCCCGGGGGCGGGCGCUGCGCCAGGGCUUCGGGACCCAGUGCCAGACCCAGAGCGCCGCCGGGCACCCGAGGGUGACAGCAGGAGAGAAGGUGGUGUUGUUGACAGAAACAUUGUAAGCAGAGAAGGUGAAUCAAUCCAUGGAGUAUCCCUAUCACACUGGAUGAAGCUCAGAAUUGGCCUAAAGAAAGUGGAAGUGAGAAACACACAGGCCGGUCAGAGGCACACAGCUGCCUUCUCUCCCAGCUGACUUUGGGCAACCACACAAGGCAAAGCCAGAGGAACCAAGAAAGGUAUUAAUUGGCAUCUACUGAACCCCGAAGACCUUCACUAGCAUUAGUGGAGCGUCAAACAAGGAAUGAACUCACUAACCAGGAUGGCCAAAGUGGGAAGCAUGAAGAGAAGUGCAUUCUGAGACUUAUUUUAAAGGAGCCGGGGAGCAAGUGCCAAACCCUUCCGCACACGGGCUCUCACUGUCCCCCUCCCUGCUCCCGGAGGUGGCGAUUAUGUGUCCCUGCUUGGCUCAGGCCUGAAGCACACCCUGGCCGGGAGGCAGCUGGCACUGGCCCAGGCAUGAAUCCGUGCCUACCCCUCCGGGCCCCACUUCCAGCAGGUCACCCGGGUCUGUGUUGUCACCUUGAAACAUUCGAGAGAGUUGUGAGCUUCAGAAGGUGAGACGUGUGGGGCUGGGGGCAGGGCAGGCCAGCCCGGGAGGGUGGCUGGAGAGCUUUUGACAGCCCAGAGCAGAGCCCAGGGUCCUAUUCCUGACAACGUGAGCCCCCAGGCAGGCGCCGAGUGGAUAAGAGUGUAGACAGUGAGGCCGGCCGUGAUGCUUGCCAGCACCUGCAGAUAGCAGGCAAAUAAUUGGCACAUGUUUAAAAAAAAAUUAAAAAGCUAUUGGAUGUGAGUAUUUUCUAACAGCGUCUGGCGGGAGUGCCCGGGAGGAAUUUAAUCAGCAAGAGUUGUUUAAACGGGGCUUUGCACACAGGCCCUGGCGAGGCUCGUAAUGAACUCCGUAUCAUGUGCCACCCCUGUCUGCUGGGGACAUUCAAUUUGUUAAUUCUGCAGCUGGUGAGAGAGGUCAGAUAGGAAAGUGACGAUUGUUUUCUGACGUUCCAGCCCCUGCUCACAUCUUUCUAAUUAAUCCUUUUAGGAGCCACGGGUAGAUUAAGAAGGAGAAAAGGUGCAGGCAGCAAGCGUGAGAGAAAUUGAUGGGAAGACA